rnacentral:rRNA from 1 species
UACGAAGGGGGCUAGCGUGCUCGGAAUUACUGGGCGUAAAGCGCACGUAGGCGGAUCUUUAAGUCAGGGGUGAAAUCCUGGAAGCUCAACUCCAGAACUAGCCUUUGAUACUGAGGGUCUUGAGUUCGGGGAGAGGUGAGUGGAACUGCGAGGUGUAGAGGUGAAUUCGUAGAUAUUACGCAAGAACACCAGUGGCGAAGGCGGAGCU